GUACUUUGAAAAAUAUUUUACUUGCGUUAUUUUUAUUUUUUUUGGAAUAGAAGAGGAAUCGCUGCAAAGUUUAAACAUAGCCAUUGCCAAAAUUCCCAUUGAGCGACAUAGAGGAUGAGUUCCCACGACAUACGCCGUCCGUUCAAACGUCCGGCGAUCUCCGACCAACAAAGACGCCGUGAACUUUCAUUGCUCCGGCAGUCCCAAAACCGCCACGACGCUCAGCUACAAGCACGUCGUUUAGCUUCCACUGUCCUCUCUCUUCAAUCCACGCAAGACGACUACAAGUCCGCUUCCGAAGAGCAACAACUCGACAUAGAAGUAACCGACGAGCUUGAAUCCUUCCCGGAAGAAACCGACGAAGAUUAUAAAAAUCAUAUUGACGCACAUGAUCUUCGUCAAGCUACCAAGCUGAGAGGACAUGAAGCUCGGUUAUGGUUUGCGAAGCAGCUUAUGCUUCCCGAGUGGAUGAUUGAUGUUCCAGAUAACUUGAAUACGGAUUGGUAUGUAUUUGCUAGGCCUGCUGGAAAACGAUGUUUUGUUGUUUCUUCAAAUGGAACAACAAUCAGUAGACUGCGCAAUGGAAUUCUCCUGCACCAUUUUCCUUCUGCUCUACCCAAUGGUGCCAGGACUAACAACAGUAAAUCUGCUCAAUCAUACUGUAUUCUUGAUUGCAUAUUUCACGAGUCUGAUAAGACAUAUUAUGUCAUUGACGGUGUUUGUUGGGCGGGAAUUUCAUUAUACGAGUGCACUGCCGAAUUCAGAUUCUUUUGGUUAAAUAGCAAGCUUGCUGAGACGGGAGCUUGUGAUGCUCCCUCAACUUAUCAUAAAUAUAAAUUUAGUGCUCUUCCUGUCUACAACUGUGACCAAGAAGGACUACAUACAGCUUAUGCAGGACAAGUUCCAUAUGUCAAGGAUGGAUUACUGUUUUACAACAAGCAUGCACAAUAUCAAACAGGAAAUACACCUCUAGCAUUGGUUUGGAAGGAUGAGCAUUGUAGUCAAUAUGUCAUUGAUACAGACAAUAAAGGACAAGUUCCAAGUCAACAACAGGUAGUUUUGGAGCUCCUGGAUGAUGGCAGACUGGCUACAUCUGAUGACCCUCCUGUCAUAUUUGGUUGCUUGCUUGGUGAAUUCAUUCAAAAGACAGAACUUCACCGUGGAGAUCUUAUAAAAUUUGCUAUAGGUGAAGGAGGAUUAACUGUUGUUGACAGUAAAUUGGAGAAGGCUGAUCUGAAAUACCUGGGCAAAUCCAAUCGUGCUCGUGCUUUUGCUGAUAGUUGCUCGAAGGUCUUGUUCCAGCACGCAGCUCGGUAUUCUCCCCUGAGAAUUGAGCAUCUUUUUGCAUCAAUCAGUUCAUUUGUUGAAGAUGGAGAUUCAACUCAAGAUGCAGAGAUGGCUGGUUAAAGGUGCCAUGUGCAGAAAACGCUUUUCAAUUAGCCAUAUAAACUUGCAUGGUUAUGAAAUUAACCGAGUGGUGGGCAUGAUCUUUCUCGCCUACAUUUUUUCUUGUUUUGGACGUGUAUAUCUCACCACAGAAGUAACAUUUUGCAUCAUGCACACAGCUGAAAUUUUUCUCUGGUGUUAAAUAGUUCAUCGUUGAGGUAAUGUUGUUCAAACAGGGUUAAAAUUUUGGUGAAGGCAGUGCUGAAGGUAACAACAGUGGAUACAAAAGAAAUGCACAUGGCUUUACUCGUUUUUGGAAUUUGGUAUUGUUUCUUUAUGAACAGCUCCAAUUCUCUUUUCGAUGUUUGCCCAUGGAAGGAGAUUAACAAUCCAAGUGAAAUAGCUGUGUCUAAUUUGUGAUGUUGGGAUAGAUUUUAGAGCUUCACAUCAGAGCUGGAAAACUGUAUUCAGCCAGAGGAGUGAAUAGAUUUGCUAAAACCAAAGAUAGUGUACAUUAUGGCUUCUUGUAUUGUAUUGGUGCCAAUUCCAACAAAUUCUGUAGCUGAA